UAGAACCUUAGGAGCCAGUGUGCCCAGUAUUCAAAGAUUCCAACCAAAAAUAUUGAAUCUCUGAACCUCCUACAUGUGGGAAGUAUUAUGGUAUUCCCUUAUGUUUCCCCUAUGCUCUUUACUCUCCUGUAGGCAAUAUCUUGUAUGCUAAGGAACCAGGAGAAACCCACACUUCCCCUCUUUGGAGACAGCUGCUCUGAUGCAAUGCUUCAAGAAGGCCCCAGUGCUCACACAAAGUUCCUGCAUGAGUGGACUACACCAUUGACCUCAUCAGCAAAGCAGUCCCGUGCUGAGACACGUGUCUGCAAUUUCCCCUAACAGGGGCGAAUCCACCCUGUGCUAUUUUUAAGAUGGGGACGCUCUCGGAGCUCCGGACCGGAGAUGGAGCUCAGAACGUGCAGCAAGUUCAUAGGGUUCUCACACAAGUUGCUGGCAGCAUCUCCCAUAGAACAUGGCAAAGAAAGAAAGAAAGAAAGAAAGAAAGAAAGAGGAGGCCAAUGCCAGAUAACAUCAUGAAUGCAAAAGGCUACAAAAUACUUCUAGCAAGAAAACCCCAAGCAAGGAAACCAAUCAGGAAGAAGAUUUCAUUAAGAAAACUGCCAGAAGAGGCUAAAGAAGGCAGAACUGACCCCCAGCAGUAAGAAGCCACAAUGACUCCUCCUGAGCUUGCAGGGCCCCAAAGGAGGUGCAGCUGCCUCUGCUUCCCAGCAGCGAGGGUUGCUCUUCCCUCCCUGUCCAGGAGCCGUGCUGUCUGCAGGCUAGCCAUUCGUCAGAUAUUGCUGCAUGAUUCUACACAGAUCUACCUGAUGAAUGGCCAGCCUGCAUGCAGUGAGGCGCUCAGACUGGGUAGGAGAGAGAGGAGCAAUCCAAGUUGCCUCCUUUGGGGUCCCCCGGCUCAUUAGGGUGAGCUGCUACUGGUAAGAAGGUCACUAACUUUGCUUGAAUGCACAUUGAAUAGUAGUCUAGCCGGCAGGCAGAGAUGUCCGUGCAAACCCCUAGAGAACAAAGCAUUUGUCUAGAUUUUGGAGUGUCUGCAGCAGCUUUUAUGUUUUGCAGUUACGUCACACAUCACAUCUAAACCACAACUUCCAUUACAUUUGUUUUAUUAGAUAGCGAUAUGGAUUGCCCAACUCAGUGAUGGUUGCCAAGAGGUCUCCAGAUCACUGUUCCUCACCUAAGUGACAUGAUCUCUGUCUAGAUGUAUUGAUCCCAUUUCUUUUAGUAGUAAGAACAAUCCUCACAAUGCUAGAUCAGAAUGUCCCCUGCUAUCUAAGCAAAGAGGCACCUUUUAAAAGUGACGAUUCUUCUAACUGAACAGGGGGAGAGCAACUGGCCCUUAUCCACCCACAGCACAGCAUCUCCCCAGAGGCUGUUACUGGUGUGUAUAUCUUAUGUUUCUUUUUUAUGUGAACCCUUUGGGGACAGGGAGCCUAUUUUAUUUAUUUGUUUGUUUGCUUACGUAUGUAUGUAUGUAUGUAUGUAUGUAUGUAUGUAUGUAUGUAUUUGCAUCUAUGUAAACCGCUAUGGGAACUUUCGUUGAAAAGCAGUAUAUAAAUAUUUGUAUUAUAUUUGCCAUAACUAUAUGCUCUUUUCACACAUAGGACAACAUAACAGACAAUUCUUUGCCAAAGUGAGCCUUAUUGAUACCCAAGCUGUGACCUCUGCCCCUUUUUCUUCAAUUAAAAAAAACGGAAUAUGUUGAUGAUAAAAUUAAAGCCACUGGACACUUGUUUCAA